UACGGAGGGAGCAUAGCUGUUCGGUCGAAUUACUGGGCGUAAAGCGCACGUAGGCGGCUUUUUAAGUCAGGGGUGAAAUCCCGGGGCUCAACCCCGGAACUGCCCUUGAAACUGGAGAGCUAGAAUCUUGGAGAGGCGAGUGGAAUUCCGAGUGUAGAGGUGAAAUUCGUAGAUAUUCGGAAGAACACCAGUGGCGAAGGCGACUCGCUGGACAAGUAUUGACGCUGAGGUGCGAAAGCGUGGGGAGCAAACAGG
rnacentral:rRNA from 1 species